AUAAUCGCGUAUUACAACUACGGAUUACAGAACUUUGUCAAUGACCUAAACGGAUAUAAACAGGAAUGAAUGAACAGAUCAGGUUUGAAGUAACCUUUGAUGGGGUCUUAUAGAGACAGCUGGCACAGGUUGGAAUUAUGACAUAAUACAGAUUAUGGAUCAUUAAUUGGAAAUAAAUCAGAAAAAGUACUUCAGUUCUUGCUUAGAAGAUCAGUGCCAUCUAUUAUAGUAAAGACCAUCGUAUUCCAGCUCAUGAAUGUUCAAGAAGGUUGAAAGAUCGAGCAGAGGUGUGGAACCAGAUAUGCCAAUACCAGUGGCCCAGGAUUUGGAGGAGACUAGUUACCCAAUAAAUGUUAUCCAUGGAAACAAUGAUUCCACAACAACAUUCUAUCUAUAAGCUGUUUUCUUUAUAUUUAGAAAAAAUAAGAGUCUGAGAUGAUUAUAGUACAUUGCUUCUCCAUCUUUGAACUUGCAUUCAGUAAAAUAAAUUUAUGCAUCAGAUGUAUUAAUUGGAAGUGGCAUAUGUCUGCUUAACAAGUUUCUAUGUAGCAUUCAAAAAGUGUUUGUAAAAUUUCACGUAAAUUGUUGUAGCAAAAUAUCCAUAGAUAAUGGACAGAAUAUGUAUCUGUGUCAUUAUGGCAUUGUUAUAUUUUUCCUGUUCUUUUCCAAUAUUCAUGACAGUGUAAUAACUUCGCAGAAUUUUACAAUUGGACUGAAAUAGGAAGUACUUGCACUGUAAACUCAUUAAAAUAUGAAUUUGUAA